AGGGACUUAGGAUAACAUUAUUUUAGACCAAGAGCCUUCAAAGCUCUAAGUGAGAGUGAAAACCUCUCAGUCCCUG
rnacentral:tRNA from 1 species